GACGAACGCUGGCGGCGUGCUUAACACAUGCAAGUCGAACGGUGAAGCGCCUUCCUUUUUGGUGGGUGUGGAUGAGUGGCGAACGGGUGAGUAACACGUGAGUAACCUCCCCCCUUCUUCGGGAUAACCGCAGGAAAGUGGGGCUAAUACGGGAUAUUCUGGGCCGGUGGCAUGAUGGGUCUGGGAAGGAUAUGGUUUCGGGGGGGGAGGGGCUCGCGGCCUAUCGGCUUGUUGGGGGGGUGGGGGCCUACCAGGGCGGUGGCGGGUAGCCGGCCUGAGAGGGUGGACGGUCACACUGGGACUGAGCCACGGCCCAGCCUCCUACGGGAGGCAGCAGUGGGGAAUAUUGCACAAUGGGCGCAAGCCUGAUGCAGCGACGCCGCGUGAGGGAUGGAGGCCUUCGGGUUGUGAACCUCUUUCGCCAGUGAAGCAGGCCUGCCUCGUUUGUGGGUGGGUUGACGGUAGCUGGAUAAGAAGCGCCGGCUAACUACGUG
rnacentral:rRNA from 1 species